rnacentral:lncRNA from 1 species
GGUUUCCGGCACCAAUUACCGGCUGAUCUUGGUCGUCAAGGACGGACCUUCGACCAAGAAAUUUGAAGCUGUCGUUUGGGAGAAGCCGAGGGAGCAUUUCAAGAGUCUCACCUCGUUUAAGCCUUUUAAGCCUAUGGUUGGGGGAUGGAAGCCGAUAGAGGACCUCAAGGAGAAGCACGUGAUGGAGAUCGGGCAGUUCGCGGUGACGGAGUACAACAAACGGUCAAAGAGCACGUUGAAGUUCGAGAGCGUGGAGAAGGGCGAGACUCAGGUGGUUUCCGGCACCAAUUACCGGCUGAUCUUGGUCGUCAAGGACGGACCUUCGACCAAGAAAUUUGAAGCUGUCGUUUGGGAGAAGCCAUGGGAGCAUUUCAAGAGUCUCACCUCGUUUAAGCCUUUUAAGCCUAUGGUUGGGGGAUGGAAGCCGAUAGAGGACCCCAAGGAGAAGCAUGUGAUGGAGAUCGGCCAGUUCGCGGUGACGGAGUACAACAAACGGUCAAAGAGCGCGUAAAAGUUCGAGAGCGUGGAGAAGGGCGAGACUCAGGUGGUUUCCGGCACCAAUUACCGGUUGAUCUUGGUCGUCAAGGACGGACCUUCGACCAAGAAAUUUGAAGCUGUCGUUUGGGAGAAGCCAUGGGAGCAUUUCAAGAGUCUCACCUCGUUUAAGCCUUUUAAGCCUAUGGUUGGGGGAUGGAAGCCGAUAGAGGACCCCAAGGAGAAGCAUGUGAUGGAGAUCGGCCAGUUCGCGGUGACGGAGUACAACAAACGGUCAAAGAGCGCGUUGAAGUUCGAGAGCGUGGAGAAGGGCGAGACUCAGGUGGUUUCCGGCACCAAUUACCGGUUGAUCUUGGUCGUCAAGGACGGACCUUCGACCAAGAAAUUUGAAGCUGUCGUUUUGGAGAAGCCAUGGGAGCAUUUCCAGAGUCUCACCUCGUUUAAGCCUAUGCCUAUGCUUGGGGGAUGGAAGCCGAUAGAGGACCCCAAGGAGAAGCAUGUGAUGGAGAUCGGGCAGUUCGCGGUGACGGAGUACAACAAACGGUCAAAGAGCGCGUUGAAGUUCGAGAGCGUGGAGAAGGGCGAGACUCAGGUGGUUUCCGGCACCAAUUACCGGUUGAUCUUGGUCGUCAAGGACGGACCUUCGACCAAGAAAUUUGAAGCUGUCGUUUUGGAGAAGCCAUGGGAGCAUUUCAAGAGUCUCACCUCGUUUAAGCCUAUGCCUAUGCUUGGGGGAUGGAAGCCGAUAGAGGACCCCAAGGAGAAGCACGUGAUGGAGAUCGGGCAGUUCGCGGUGACGGAGUACAACAAACGGUCAAAGGGCGCGUUGAAGUUCGAGAGUGUGGAGAAGGGUGAGACUCAGGUGGUUUCCGGCACCAAUUACCGGUUGAUCUUGGUCGUCAAGGACGGAC